rnacentral:lncRNA from 1 species
UCCGCCAAGUUCCCAUUUCCCGGAAGUCAUCUCCUUCGUGGCGGUUGACGCGCCUUCGGUUUGCUGCCGAAGCAUUUGAUGAAAUGCUAUCGUCCUUCUGCCGGACAAGUGCUGGAACUGAAGAUGCAACUUGGAGGCGAUUCGUUCGGCCUCCGGGCCCAAUGGGCUACCGCAAAAUGGCUUUCGGAUCGCUCUUUCAGGAUGCCCCAGGCUCUUGAAUUCCGCCCUCCUCUCCCGGCCGCUUCUCCCCCUGCCAGUCUUUUCCCUCUGCUUGCUCCUGGCGGAUGAGAUCGGGGUUUGGGACUGGCCGGGGACGGCUUCGCGGGACGUUUCCUGCUCCUUUCCUUUUAACUCCCGCGAUCCGGGAGGUGCACGUCCGAGCCGCCCGGCGACUCGGCGCCGUGGGUCAUCCCUUUCGGAUCUCUUCGGUUAGAUCUGCGAAAUGGCGGAGGCGGACGGGGCCCCGUCCGCUCGCAAAGUUCAAACGAAAAUAGUUCCGGAACGCGCCGAUAUUUGUUUAUCCCGGCUGUGCCGGAGGCUCUACGGGGGCCGGGGAACGGAAGGAGCUGGCGGAAGAGGGAGAACGGUACCAUUUUCUCCGGAAAUUUCCUCCGGAGUCCAGGAUGAAGAGCAACAGCUGGCCCCGCUGCUUCACGAUACUUGGCUGCCGGAUAACAACGGAGAAAGGAAAUGUUGCCGGUCAAAGGGGAUCUCCUUUUACGGGAACGUGGCGGACCUCUUGCCCGAGGCCGUUCUCUCCCACCGCUUAGUCCAGUGCUCCUGCCGAUAGAAGGUUUUCGACUCCCUCCCUCGCGCCAGCUUUGCCGACGAGUUGGGGACUAUCGUCGCGUCAAAUGGGGCAUGCUGGCCCACCACGGCAGAGCCAGUUAACUCACAGGCCAGGCUAAUAGAGUCCACAGAUAUCCGUUACCGAGGCGCAACUGGGCAACCUGUCAUUUCCCGUUAGGACGGAGGAGUUUCCUACCCAGGAUCCCUGGGAUUCCACAGAGGGAACGUCAAACGGACUUCGGCGCGGUAGGGAAUUUGACAAAGCGGCCGAAAGCCCAAGGUCCUCGGUUCUGCAGAAGAUGAUGAUAAUGAUGAAAAUAAAAGUAAGAGAAAUAAUAGUAAUAAGCGGUUACUACGUUCCGGGCACUCAACUACGCACUGGGGCGGAUCCAAUCGAC